rnacentral:rRNA from 1 species
AUUGAACGCUUGCGGCAGGCCUAACACAUGCAAGUCGAACGAGUGGCGGACGGGUGAGUAAUGUCUGGGAAACUGCCUGAUGGAGGGGGAUAACUACUGGAAACGGUAGCUAAUCCCGCAUACCAUCAGAUGUGCCCAGAUGGGAUUAGCUUGUUGGUGGGGUAACGGCUCGCCAAGGCGACGAUCCCUAGCUGGUCUGAGAGGAGGACCAGCCACACUGGAACUGAGACACGGGCCAGAAUCCUACGGGAGGCAGCAGUGGGGAAUAUUGCACAAUGGGCGCAAGCCUGAUGCAGCCAUGCCGCGUGUAUGAAGAAGGCCUUCGGGUUGUAAAGUACUUUCAGCGGGGAGGCGUUACCCGCAGAAGAAGCACCGGCUAACUCCGUGCCAGCAGCCGCGGUAAUUC